rnacentral:rRNA from 1 species
UGCGAGCGUUGUUCGGAAUUACUGGGCGUAAAGCGUGCGUAGUCGGUUAUCUAAGUCGGGUGUGAAAUCCCCGGGCUCAACCUGGGAAUUGCAUUCGAUACUGGAUAGCUAGAGUUCGGCAGAGGGAAGCGGAAUUUCGGGUGUAGCGGUGAAAUGCGUAGAUAUCCGAAGGAACAUCAGUGGCGAAAGCGGCUUCCUGGACCAGAACUGACGAUCAGGCACGAAAGCGUGGGGAGCAAACAGG